AGUCCAGACUCCUACGGGAGGCAGCAGUGGGGAAUAUUGGACAAUGGGGGGAACCCUGAUCCAGCGACGCCGCGUGAGUGAAGAAGUAUUUCGGUAUGUAAAGCUCUAUCAGCAGGGAAGAAAGAAAUGACGGUACCUGACUAAGAAGCCCCGGCUAACUACGUGCCAGCAGCCGCGGUAAUAUGGAGGAUGCGAGCGUUAUCCGGUUUUAUUGGGUUUAAAGGGUGCGUAGGCGGAUGGUUAAGUCAGUGGUAAAAUGGAGGGCCACACCCCCUCCCCGCCAUUGAAACUGGCGCUCUUGAGUGGAAGAGAAGUAUGCGGAAUGCGUGGUGUAGCGGUGAAAUGCAUAGAUAUCACGCAGAACCCCGAUUGCGAAGGCAGCAUGCCGGCUUCCGACUGACGCUGAAGCACGAAAGCGUGGGGAUCGAACAGGAUUAGAUACCCCAGUAC
rnacentral:rRNA from 1 species